AUACAUACACAUACACACACGAUUGUGUGUGUGUGUGUGUGUGUGUGUGUAU
rnacentral:miRNA from 1 species